CCCCGCUUGGCCCAGUGGUAAGGCGUGUCACUCGUAACAUUGCGACAUGACAAGAUCAGUUGUUCGAAUCAGCUAGUGGGCA